rnacentral:misc_RNA from 1 species
GCCAUUUAGUACAAACGGAAGUAAGUUAUACAAUUUUUGAAAUAGAGCAGAUGAACUAGUACUCAAUAGCUUUAUUAAGAAAAUUACAUCAAUGAACAGACUAACAAAAGAAGUUGACACAGUAAUUGCACAUCAAAAUGCAACUGCGGAAUGCCAAAAAGAAGAAAGGGACAAAAAAGGACUCGUGCAAACGCAUAUAAUACAGUAUAACUUAAACACUGACAACAAACAAAUAAUGCAAAGACUUACACAGACUUGGAUGGCCAAGACUAACGUGUUUGUUAUGAAAUUAAUAACAAGCACAUAAUGUGAAGGCUUAUGCACCCUUGGAUGGCCAAGAUGCUUGAGCUGACAUGAUAAUUCCCA